UACGUAGGGUGCGAGCGUUGUCCGGAAUUAUUGGGCGUAAAGGGCUCGUGGGCGGUUUGUCGCGUCGGGAGUGAAAACUCAGGGCUUAACCCUGAGCCUGCUUCCGAUACGGGCAGACUAGAGGAAUGCAGGGGAGAAUGGAAUUCCUGGUGUAGCGGUGAAAUGCGCAGAUAUCAGGAGGAACACCGGUGGCGAAGGCGGUUCUCUGGGCAUUACCUGACGCUGAGGAGCGAAAGUGUGGGGAGCGAACAGG
rnacentral:rRNA from 1 species